AUUGAACGCUGGCGGCAGGCCUAACACAUGCAAGUCGAGCGGAUGAGUGGAGCUUGCUCCAUGAUUCAGCGGCGGACGGGUGAGUAAUGCCUAGGAAUCUGCCUGGUAGUGGGGGACAGCGUUUCGAAAGGAACGCUAAUACCGCAUACGUCCUACGGGAGAAAGCAGGGGACCUUCGGGCCUUGCGCUAUCAGAUGAGCCUAGGUCGGAUUAGCUAGUAGGUGAGGUAAUGGCUCACCUAGGCGACGAUCCGUAACUGGUCUGAGAGGAUGAUCAGUCACACUGGAACUGAGACACGGUCCAGACUCCUACGGGAGGCAGCAGUGGGGAAUAUUGGACAAUGGGCGAAAGCCUGAUCCAGCCAUGCCGCGUGUGUGAAGAAGGUCUUCGGAUUGUAAAGCACUUUAAGUUGGGAGGAAGAGCAGUAAGUUAAUACCUUGCUGUUUUGACGUUACCAACAGAAUAAGCGCCGGCUAACUUCGUGCCAGCCGCCGCCGUAACAC
rnacentral:rRNA from 1 species